AGUGAACGCUGGCGGUAGGCCUAACACAUGCAAGUCGAACGGCAGCACAGGAGAGCUUGCUCUCUGGGUGGCGAGUGGCGGACGGGUGAGGAAUACAUCGGAAUCUACUCUGUCGUGGGGGAUAACGUAGGGAAACUUACGCUAAUACCGCAUACGACCUACGGGUGAAAGCAGGGGACCUUCGGGCCUUGCGCGAUUGAAUGAGCCGAUGUCGGAUUAGCUAGUUGGCGGGGUAAAGGCCCACCAAGGCGACGAUCCGUAGCUGGUCUGAGAGGAUGAUCAGCCACACUGGAACUGAGACACGGUCCAGACUCCUACGGGAGGCAGCAGUGGGGAAUAUCGGACAAUGGGCGCAAGCCUGAUCCAGCCAUACCGCGUGGGUGAAGAAGGCCUUCGGGUUGUAAAGUCCUUUUGUUGGGAAAGAAAUCCAGCUGGCUAAUACCCGGUUGGGAUGGCGGUACCCAAAGAAUAAGCACCGGCUAACUUCGUGCCAGCCGCCGCCGUAA
rnacentral:rRNA from 1 species